rnacentral:rRNA from 1 species
GACGAACGCUGGCGGCGUGCCUAAUACAUGCAAGUUGAGCGCUGAAGGUUGGUACUUGUACCAACUGGAUGAGCAGCGAACGGGUGAGUAACGCGUGGGGAAUCUGCCUUUGAGCGGGGGACAACAUUUGGAAACGAAUGCUAAUACCGCAUAAAAACUUUAAACACAAGUUUUAAGUUUGAAAGAUGCAAUUGCAUCACUCAAAGAUGAUCCCGCGUUGUAUUAGCUAGUUGGUGAGGUAAAGGCUCACCAAGGCGAUGAUACAUAGCCGACCUGAGAGGGUGAUCGGCCACAUUGGGACUGAGACACGGCCCAAACUCCUACGGGAGGCAGCAGUAGGGAAUCUUCGGCAAUGGACGAAAGUCUGACCGAGCAGCGCCGCGUGAGUGAAGAAGGUUUUCGGAUCGUAAAACUCUGUUGGUAGAGAAGAACGUUGGUGAGAGUGGAAAGCUCAUCAAGUGACGGUAACUACCCAGAAAGGGGCGGCUAACUACGUG